UAUCACAAAACAUCAAUGGUUAAUUAAAAAAUAUGACACACGACAUGCAUUUUAUCAAGGACGAUCAAACAAGCAUCAAGACAGUCAAGUAUGGCAUCAAACAUGGCUCAUGAUAACAUACACAUUCAUAGAAUUUUAGAGUUGGAGGGUGGAAAGAGCAUACCUGAUUAGCAAGCAUCCACACGUCUAUGGAAAACAAGGGUAGCUCAACAAUAAAUACGAAACAAAUUCAUGUAUAUCAUCCAGAGGAAUAAAAAAUCAAUCAGAUAUCAAACAGACUCUAUUGAAGAGAAUAUCAUGAAUGUCGGCC
rnacentral:lncRNA from 1 species